rnacentral:rRNA from 1 species
UUAAAAUGAGAGUUUGAUCCUGGCUCAGGACGAACGCUGGCGGCGUGCCUAAUACAUGCAAGUCGAACGAAACUUUCUUACACCGAAUGCUUGCAUUCACCGUAAGAAGUUGAGUGGCGGACGGGUGAGUAACACGUGGGUAACCUGCCUAAAAGAAGGGGAUAACACUUGGAAACAGGUGCUAAUACCGUAUAUCUCUAAGGAUCGCAUGAUUCUUAGAUGAAAGAUGGUUCUGCUGUCGCUUUUAGAUGGACCCGCGGCGUAUUAACUAGUUGGUGGGGUAACGGCCUACCAAGGUGAUGAUACGUAGCCGAACUGAGAGGUUGAUCGGCCACAUUGGGACUGAGACACGGCCCAAACUCCUACGGGAGGCAGCAGUAGGGAAUCUUCCACAAUGGACGCAAGUCUGAUGGAGCAACGCCGCGUGAGUGAAGAAGGUCUUCGGAUCGUAAAACUCUGUUGUUAGAGAAGAACACGAGUGAGAGUAACUGUUCAUUCGAUGACGGUAUCUAACCAGCAAGUCACGGCUAACUACGUGCCAGCAGCCGCGGUA